rnacentral:rRNA from 1 species
GACGAACGCUGGCGGCGUGCCUAAUACAUGCAAGUCGAACGCUUUUUCUUUCACCGGAGCUUGCUCCACCGAAAGAAAAAGAGUGGCGAACGGGUGAGUAACACGUGGGUAACCUGCCCAUCAGAAGGGGAUAACACUUGGAAACAGGUGCUAAUACCGUAUAACACUAUUUUCCGCAUGGAAGAAAGUUGAAAGGCGCUUUUGCGUCACUGAUGGAUGGACCCGCGGUGCAUUAGCUAGUUGGUGAGGUAACGGCUCACCAAGGCAACGAUGCAUAGCCGACCUGAGAGGGUGAUCGGCCACACUGGGACUGAGACACGGCCCAGACUCCUACGGGAGGCAGCAGUAGGGAAUCUUCGGCAAUGGACGAAAGUCUGACCGAGCAACGCCGCGUGAGUGAAGAAGGUUUUCGGAUCGUAAAACUCUGUUGUUAGAGAAGAACAAGGAUGAGAGUAAAACGUUCAUCCCUUGACGUAUCUACCAGA